rnacentral:tRNA from 2 species
CGGAGUGUAGCGCAGUCUGGUAGCGCACCUCGUUCGGGACGAGGGGGUCGCGUGUUCGAAUCACGCCACUCCGACCA